rnacentral:rRNA from 1 species
UACGGAGGGGGCAAGCGUUGUGCGGAGUUACUGGGCGUAAAGGGCGCGUAGGCGGUGCUACAAGUCAUGCGUGAAAGCCCCGGGCUUAACCUGGGAAUUGCGCUUGAUACUGUCGCGCUAGAGAUCGGGAGAGGAUGGCGGAAUUCCCAGUGUAGAGGUGAAAUUCGUAGAUAUUGGGAAGAACACCGGUGGCGAAGGCGGCCAUCUGGACCGCAUCUGACGCUGAGGCGCGAAAGCGUGGGGAGCAAACAGG